rnacentral:rRNA from 1 species
UACGUAGGUGGCAAGCGUUGUCCGGAAUUAUUGGGCGUAAAGGGCGCGCAGGCGGCGUCGUAAGUCGGUCUUAAAAGUGCGGGGCUUAACCCUGUGAGGGGACCGAAACUGCGAUGCUAGAGUAUCGGAGAGGAAAGCGGAAUUCCUAGUGUAGCGGUGAAAUGCGUAGAUAUUAGGAGGAACACCAGUGGCGAAAGCGGCUUUCUGGACGACAACUGACGCUGAGGCGCGAAAGCCAGGGGAGCAAACGGG